rnacentral:rRNA from 1 species
GUCAAGCUGGGCACUCUGGGGACACUGCCACCGUAAGGUGUGAGGAAGGUGGGGAUGACGUCAAAUCAGCACGGCCCUUACGUCCGGGGCUACACACGUGUUACAAUGGCAGGUACAGAGAGAUGGUCCUUUGCAAAACGGAUCAAAUCCUUAAAGCCUGUCUCAGUUCGGACUGGGGUCUGCAACCCGACCCCACGAAGCUGGAUUCGCUAGUAAUCGCGCAUCAGCCAUGGCGCGGUGAAUACGUUCCCGGGCCUUGUACACACCGCCCGUCAAGCCAUGAAAGCCGGGGGCGCCUAAAGUCCGUGACCGUAAGGAGCGGCCUAGGGCGAAACUGGUAAUUGGGGCUAAGUCGUAACAAGGUAGCCGUACCGGAAGGUGCGGCUGGAACACCUCCUUU